rnacentral:rRNA from 1 species
AACGAACGCUGGCGGCAGGCUUAACACAUGCAAGUCGAGCGCCCCGCAAGGGGAGCGGCAGACGGGUGAGUAACGCGUGGGAAUCUACCCAUCUCUACGGAAUAACGCAUGGAAACGUGUGCUAAUACCGGAUACGUCCUUCGGGAGGAAGAUUUAUCGGAGAUGGAUGAGCCCGCGUUGGAUUAGUUAGUUGGUGGGGUAAAGGCCUACCAAGGCGACGAUCCAUAGCUGGUCUGAGAGGAUGAUCAGCCACACUGGGACUGAGACACGGCCCAGACUCCUACGGGAGGCAGCAGUGGGGAAUAUUGGACAAUGGGCGCAAGCCUGAUCCAGCCAUGCCGCGUGAGUGAUGAAGGCCCUAGGGUUGUAAAGCUCUUUCACCGGUGAAGAUAAUGACGGUAACCGGAGAAGAAGCCCCGGCUAACUUCGUGCCAGCCGCCGCCGUAACAC